GGCCAAACAGAUGAUCGGAAUUCCCAAUGUUAGAAACAGCAACAAAUCUGAAGCUGAAUCAUUAAGAACCAUAGCAAAGAUCUCUGUGAAAACUGCAGCGCUCAGGCCAAUAUAGCCUUUCAGUAUUCCAGCAACAGUGCCUCUACUGAGAGGGAAGUUCCUCAUAUUGGUGACAAGUACUGCUGUGCCCAUCCAUGCACUGCUGUUUGUCGCAACUACCAGUGCGAGCCAAAGAACCCAGUAAGGCAAAGACAGCACAGUCUGGCUGACAGCAAGCCAAAGAACACCAUAGCCAAAAAAAGAAAGACAGAGACCAAAAAGCAAAAUAACCCAAGGUGGGAACUUGUUGCAAGCUAUGCCUGGAAGAAUCCCAACAUUCUCCCCAAUAUCAUUUGCCACUCCAAUAAUAGUCAGCUGCUGCUGACUAAAACCCAAAACUGAUUUCAAAGCAGGAGAAUAAAGGGGAAAAGUAUAAGCUGAACCAGCUGCUAUCUGUACCCAAACAGCAGCAGCAAGACCUACCCAUGGUGGUCUGC
rnacentral:misc_RNA from 1 species